GACGAACGCUGGCGGCGUGCUUAACACAUGCAAGUCGAACGGUAAGGCCCUUCGGGGUACACGAGUGGCGAACGGGUGAGUAACACGUGGGUGAUCUGCCCUGCACUUCGGGAUAAGCCUGGGAAACUGGGUCUAAUACCGGAUAGGACCACUGCCUGCAUGGGUGGUGGUGGAAAGCCUUUGCGGUGUGGGAUGGGCCCGCGGCCUAUCAGCUUGUUGGUGGGGUGAUGGCCUACCAAGGCGACGGCGGGUAGCCGGCCUGAGAGGGUGACCGGCCACACUGGGACUGAGAUACGGCCCAGACUCCUACGGGAGGCAGCAGUGGGGAAUAUUGCACAAUGGGCGCAAGCCUGAUGCAGCGACGCCGCGUGAGGGAUGACGGCCUUCGGGUUGUAAACCUCUUUCAGCACCGACGAAGCGCAAGUGACGGUAGGUGCAGAAGAAGGACCGGCCGACUACGUGCCAGCCGCCGCAGUAA
rnacentral:rRNA from 1 species